GAUUUUGAUUUUGGUUCUGUGAAUGCAUCUUGGUUUAAUUACUUGUCAUACUGGGAAAUUUCUCUAUUGUAUUUCGAGAGACUAAUUGAGUUCCAUUCAAGCAGAAGGUCCUUCAGUUAUAAAUCAGGUAAUAAUUACCUUCGAGGUUACGGAGAAUCCUUUUUCAACAUGUGAGGUAGCAGAAACAACAAAAGAGAAAAGGUAAACAAGAAAUCCAUCAGGCCUGUUGUACAUCUUUUUCUAGAAUUAAGAUGCUACAAGACAUAAAAGAUUAAUGACCAGCGGCGGAGGGGCUUCUGUUCUCUGAAAACAGGCCACAAAUUCCCAAAUGCAAGUCAACCAAAUGAAAAUCCUUUUCAAAGCUCUUCCUCUUUGGGUACAAGAAGCUUAAAUCAUUUUCUUUGAACUUAAAAGAAACCAACAUAAGGUUUGCGCGUGACAUUCAACAGUGCUUCAGUGUUGAUUUGAUCACUGACAGACGUCACUAUUAAAGUCACUGUUAACAUUUCCAUUCAUCUCAAUGGCAUUUGCUCAGCAGGAACAGGCACCCGCAGAUGUAUGUGGAUGUAUGCUUUCAUCUUUGCAUCUUUGACAAGAAAAAAAGAAAAAAAAAGAAAAAUGUCAUAAAAAGGUAAAUAAAUAAAACACAGCUUUAAGAGCCCUCAUCAUUAAAACAUAACAAAAUGUUUGACCCAUGCACAAUAAAACCAAGAAAGCAUAUUAAGAAAGUAAACAGGCUACAUUUUGAAUUAUCUUGAAUGAUCUCUAUAAUUCACACAAAAAUAGCUUUUAGUUAUGUUAAAUGUCAAUAACUGUAAUUAGUUAUUUUAUCAUUUCAAUUUUUGAAUCAAACUAAAACAUGUUUUGUCUUUUACAGCUUUUCACAACAGUGCUGAUGGCUCUCAGGUGCAAUGAAGCUGCAUUCUAAAGAGUAUCAAGACGCCAUGGGCUAGACACUAGCGUGAUGCAUCUGAGAUGUGAGCUCCAGGCCAUCAGCAGCCAUUCAGCGCUCAUAAACCCACUGAGAGCAGCCUUACCUCGGCCAGAUCUUCUGGAAUUUGCUGCUGGUUCUUAUGUCUCUAUAGUGGUUAAACAUGAGAUACCAUAGCCAUUUGGGGUAAAUCUCGCAGGUAGUAUUUGGUCUCAUUAAUGAAUAAUUUGUUCCAGAUCAAAUAGAUUUGGCAGAGUGCAAAAUCUCAUUACAUUAUAUUUUAUGUAACUUUGUACUUUUGACUGAAUUGCCAAGCUACUUUUAUGAUGGCUGUUGUUGUUGUUUAUCAAAUAUUGACAAAGAGCCUAUCGCUUUCCUCAGAGGACAUUCAAACUAAUAUUUUAUUGUGAAAAUUAGAUUGAGCUAAAAUAUGAAUGUUGUAUCUGAUGCAGAUAAUCGCACUCGCUCAGCCCAUCUCUCUCUCAAAAUACUGUAUAUAAUACAGUGAGCUUUAAUACAUUACAAUAAGCCUUCAAUGAAGCAACUCAACUGGUUCUAAAGUGACGUUUUCGAAUUCGUAAUGGAGGCUUGGUCUCAUAUCUAUUAAACUGCCAAACUGAGAUUUAAAUCUGUGGUGGAAGGAAGUAGUUCUGCACAAAAGAGGGUUUUUAAAGACACUCCGUUGUUGUUUCUUAUGUAUUUACAAACUCGUGCCGUUGAACUGUUGUAUAAAUGCAAUAUCACACUCAUAGCUGUGAGAUAUGGCUGUAUAUCGGCAUGGCUUUAAGUCUAAUAAGUAAAAGAAUAACAAAGCACCGUAAACAGUAAAACUAUUUGUGCCAAAAACAGGUAUGACAAUACACUAAAAUAAUAUAAGAAAUUGUAUAUUGCAAUAUCACAUAGCAUGUUUUCUAGUAAAAAAAAAAAAAAAAAACAGAAGUGGAUGACAUUUCAAGCCUCACACAUUCAAGUAACAAAUGGCUACAUUCACUCUGACAUUAAAAAUAAGGUGGAUGAUGUAUGAUUUAUUACACCUGAUCAUAUUUAGUACUCUAGCAACCACCCAGAAAGGCCACAUAGCAACACACAGAGAAUCACUUAAAACACCUUAGCAGCUGCAAAGCAACACCCUGGCAAUCACCUACAACACCAAAACCCUAAAAAACUGUAAUAAUGUCGAGACUUAUUAAUCUAGGAGCUUUUAUGAAAUGAAAAUCAUAACAUAUCUGCUGUGAAAUCUUCUAGCAGUUAGUCCCAUUAACUUCCUUUAUAAGUGUUUCACUGUAACCUUGAUUUUCUUUUUUAUUGAAAAGAGAAAUAAAGAACAAGUUAAAAUAAUUUUUUGUUUAUCAGCAUUAUACAUUGAUGAUUGUGCUUAAUAUUAACCCUG
ensembl:lncRNA